rnacentral:rRNA from 1 species
AAGUAACGUAGACGAAAGUUACGCUAAUACCGCAUAUUCUGUGAGCAGGAAAGCAGGGGAUCGCAAGACCUUGCGCUGAUUGAGCGGCCGAUAUCAGAUUAGCUAGUUGGUGAGGUAAAGGCUCACCAAGGCGACGAUCUGUAGCGGGUCUGAGAGGAUGAUCCGCCACACUGGAACUGAGACACGGUCCAGACUCCUACGGGAGGCAGCAGUGGGGAAUUUUGGACAAUGGGCGCAAGCCUGAUCCAGCCAUGCCGCGUGAGUGAAGAAGGCCUUCGGGUUGUAAAGCUCUUUCGGCCGGGAAGAAAUCGCACAGGUUAAUACCCUGUGUGGAUGACGGUACCGGAAUAAGAAGCACCGGCUAACUACGUG